GUGAAAACCACAAACAGCAAGGAAAGCCUUGGUGCGUGUCGACCUUGGGUGGCGGCCCGUUCGUUAAACGAACGCCAUUCAGGGGGAGCACUCGUGGAUUGUUCCCAAACGAUGACCUCCCUAGUGUCCCUUGGAGUGUUCACACCAAUUAAUUAGAAAAUUGACAACUUGCAACAUAAGUGUGAAACCACAAGUGAAGUAAUUAAUGAGCGCUUCCCUGGGUGGCCGCCAUUCGUACAGACUAACACUGGCCAGGGGGAGCGUUCUUGUCCCAAAAGGAGACUCUUCCCUUGCCUGGUUUCACCCAGGGACUCUGCGAACAGAGAUGGUUCGGAACGGUUACUGUUCUGGGGAUCCCUGAGACUGCUGGGGACACUCUUUUGGGAACAAUGGCAGUUUUGAGCACAGAGGACCCUGGGAAGAAGACCCCCUACCAUGGGAAGGGGGAACUCCUGUAUUUGGUUGGUGGGAACUGGGGACGUAGGACUUGGAGUUCCUGUCACCCAAAGACCCCUGGGAGGGGACACUGAGUGGCGGGGACAGGGGAAAAAGGGACUUGGGUUCUGGUUCCACCAGGAGGCCUCUGGGAGGGGACAUUGUCAUUGUGUAUGAUCCGCCCAUUGCACGGGGAAAGUAUAAAGCAGAGUGUGGCCAAAAAAAGGUCGUUGCACCCCUGGAACUGUGUUGUCCGGUUAUUGGGGAAAAUGGGUCUCUUUAUCUAUUAAUAGCAGGGGUAACCGGCAGGGUUAGCCAG